rnacentral:lncRNA from 1 species
AUGGCUCAAACAAAGGAAAUGCACAAAUGGACACCACAGGAGACCAGACGCCUCAUUAAUUUCAGGUCGACCAGGGACAAUGAGUUUCUCAGGUCAAAAAUGAUCGCCCGAAAACAGUGGGAGCUUUUUCUGGAAGAAAUGGGGAUGGAGGGAAAAGUUACAAGGCAACAGGCUUCUAAGAAGUGGGAAAACCUCAAAAAGAAGUACAAGGAUUUGAGGACUCCCAAAACUGGGUCGGGGACGGAAAGUGGGGAGGUGACUGUGGCGACGUGGCAGUAUUACGAUUUGAUGCAUGAGGUUCUUGGUGCCCGGCCAGCAAUCGACCCACCAGUCUUGUGUCCUCGAUUCAAGAAGACCCCAUGGUUAUCCUCAUGGAGAUGGUGGAGCCCUACAACCAAGCACCCCCGACAGCAGCCAGCACCCCACUCAGUGGUGUAG